AUACAGAGGGUGCGAGCGUUAAUCGGAAUUACGGGGCGUAAAGCGCGCGUAGGCGGCUUAUUAAGUCAGAUGUGAAAUCCCCGGGCUCAACCUGGGAACUGCAUCUGAUACUGGUAAGCUAGAGUUUUGGAGAGGGAAGUAGAAUUUCAGGUGUAGCGGUGAAAUGCAUAGAGAUCUGAAGGAAUACCAGUGGCGAAGGCGACUUCCUGGCCAAAAACUGACGCUGAGGUGCGAAAGCGUGGGUAGCAAACGGGAUUAGAAACCCUAGUAGUCC
rnacentral:rRNA from 1 species